rnacentral:rRNA from 1 species
UCGAGAAUCUUCGGCAAUGGACGAAAGUCUGACCGAGCGACGCCGCGUGCGGGAUGAAGGUCUUCGGAUUGUAAACCGCUGUCAGAGGGGAUGAAGUAUAUGAGAGCUAUCUCUUGUAUUUGACAGAGCCUCAGAGGAAGCACGGGCUAAGUUCGUGCCAGCAGCCGCGGUAAUACGAACUGUGCGAACGUUAUUCGGAAUCACUGGGCUUAAAGGGUGCGUAGGCGGUUUUCUAAGUCACGUGUGAAAUCUUCCGGCUCAACCGGAAAACUGCGCGUGAUACUGGAUAACUUGAGUGAGGUAGGGGUGUGUGGAACUUCCGGUGGAGCGGUGAAAUGUGUAGAGAUCGGAAGGAACGCCAGCAGCGAAAGCGGCACACUGGGCCUUUUCUGACGCUGAGGCACGAAAGCUAGGGGAGUGAACG